GAUGAACGCUGGCGGCGUGCCUAAUACAUGCAAGUCGAGCGAACAGAUGAGGAGCUUGCUCCUCUGACGUUAGCGGCGGACGGGUGAGUAACACGUGGAUAACCUACCUAUAAGACUGGGAUAACUUCGGGAAACCGGAGCUAAUACCGGAUAAUAUAUUGAACCGCAUGGUUCAAUAGUGAAAGACGGUUUUGCUGUCACUUAUAGAUGGAUCCGCGCCGCAUUAGCUAGUUGGUAAGGUAACGGCUUACCAAGGCAACGAUGCGUAGCCGACCUGAGAGGGUGAUCGGCCACACUGGAACUGAGACACGGUCCAGACUCCUACGGGAGGCAGCAGUAGGGAAUCUGCCGCAAUGGGCGAAAGCCUGACGGAGCAACGCCACGUGAGUGAUGAAGGUCUUCGGAUCGUAAAACUCUGUUAUUAGGGAAGAACAAAUGUGUAAGUAACUAUGCACGUCUUGACGGUACCUAAUCAGAAAGCCACGGCUAACUACGU
rnacentral:rRNA from 1 species